rnacentral:rRNA from 1 species
AGAGAUGAUGCUGUGAUACCAAAUGAUUUUAGACCUAUGUCCCUUUUGAACUGCACCCUGAAGAUCUUAACCAAGCUGUUGGCCAACAGACUACAAAGCAAGAUACUCAAGCUCAUUCAUCCCAACCAAUAUGGGUUUCUCUCUAACAGGUGCAUUCAAGACUGUUUAGCUUGGUCCUAUGAAUACAUUCACCAAUGCCACCAAUCAAAUGAAGAUAUCAUUCUUUUGAAAUUGGAUUUUGAAAAGGCAUUUGACAUGCUCAGUCAUGAUACUAUUAUUGAUAUUAUGGAAGCCAAAGGUUUUGGAAAUAGGUGGAUUAAUUGGAUUCAAAUGAUUUAU